rnacentral:tRNA from 1 species
GGGUGGAUAACUCUAAGUACACUAUUUUGCAAAAAUAGUGGUAAGGAUUUAUAUCCUUUCCGCCCU